AACAGAGGCAAAUAAAUUCCCGAGAGUAUUUCGUCAUUCUAUUAACCCGAGAAAGGUUGGAAGGCGUGGAAAUGGUUGAAUUUCCUAUCGAAGCCCGGCAAAGGCCAAGCGAAAAGUCAGGCUUGCCUGCCGGAUGCCGCGUACAGCUCGAACGUAAAAUCAACGACACUGCCAAGCAUAAGAGCGUGUCGCAUAACGCGCCACGCUACUGUUUACAUGUUACAAGGAGGCGGCAAGAACUGUGAAAUCUCGAGCCAGUUGGUUGUACGUGUAUUCGAUGCUUUAGAC
rnacentral:misc_RNA from 1 species